AAGAAUAUAAUAUACAUAAUAUAUACAGUACUAGUGAGAGUUCGAAGCUCUCUAUUCUUA
rnacentral:tRNA from 1 species